GCCGGGUUAACUCACAAGUUUCAACCUAUUUUGACAGUACUAGUUAAAAUGCUCCCUGACUUUUAUAAGAAACUGGCAUUCAACCCAACUUAACCUUGGAUUAGAAAGCAACCAACUCGAAACUGUGUUUUUGGGAAACAUAGACUGGUUUAGAUGAUCAAAUUACUAUUAUUUACUUAGUACUUGGUUCAAAAACAGUUUUCAAUGUCAAAAUACAUAUGAACUUGCUUAAAUGAUCAAAUCCUAAGUUCCUAAAUUCAAC
rnacentral:lncRNA from 1 species